rnacentral:rRNA from 1 species
UACCUGCAGCUCAAGUGGUGGCCGCUAUUAUUGGGCCUAAAACGUCCGUAGCCUGCUGAGUAAAUGCCUGGGUAAAUCGUGUCGCUUAACGAUACGAAUUCCGGGUAGACUGCUUAGCUUGAGACCGGAAGAAGUUAGAGGUACUCCUGGGGUAGGGGUGAAAUCCUGUAAUCCUGGGGGGACCACCAGUGGCGAAGGCGUCUAACUAGGACGGGUCUGACGGUGAGGGACGAAACCCUGGGGCGCAAACCGGAUUAGAUACCCGGGUAGUCCAGGGCGCAAACGCUGCUUGCUUGAUGUUAGCUGGGCUCCGAGCUCGGCUAGUGUCGGAGAGAAGUUGUUAAGCAAGCUGCCUGGGAAUACGAUCGCAAGAUUGAAACUUAAAGGAUUGGCGGGGAGCACAGCAACGGGUGGAGCGUGCGGUUU